UACGAAGGGGGCUAGCGUUGCUCGGAAUCACUGGGCGUAAAGGGUGCGUAGGCGGGUCUUUUAAGUCAGAGGUGAAAGCCUGGAGCUCAACUCCAGAACUGCCUUUGAUACUGAGGAUCUCGAGUUCGGGAGAGGUGAGUGGAACUGCGAGUGUAGAGGUGAAAUUCGUAGAUAUUCGCAAGAACACCAGUGGCGAAGGCGGCUCACUGGCCCGAUACUGACGCUGAGGCACGAAAGCGUGGGGAGCAAACAGGGA
rnacentral:rRNA from 1 species